rnacentral:snRNA from 1 species
AGCUUAGCACAGUGGCAGUAUCAUAGCCAAUGAGGCUUAUCCAAGGUGCAAUUAUUGCUAAUUAAAACUUUUCCUGAUACCCCGCCAUGACAACUUGCAAUAUAGUCAGCAUUGGCAAUUUUUGACAGUCUCUACAAAGA